rnacentral:misc_RNA from 1 species
CCUCCUUAUACGAUUUAGAACUUAUUUGUUCGUAGUGUCCACACAGAUGAUUGUUAGUUAGUCUUACCCUUUGGGUUUAACUGAUUAAUAUGCUCUUUAAAAAUUUGGAAAAGCUGAUAAUAAAAUUCGUAUGAAUAACACUGUUAUUUGUACAGAGUUUUCAAAAGUAAAAAAGAAUGAUAGCAGUAUCAUUCAGUGCCAAUUUAAUCAUCUAUGAUUAAUUGGUAUCUACUUUAGUAUUCAAUAUUAACUUCUGGCGAAGUUAAACUGUCACUAACAAAGACCCGUUUGGGUUGUAUGGUUAAGUGAUUAAGCGUACACGGUGGAUGC